UCUAAAUAAAUCGCUGAUUUGAGACACCAAAAGCCAAACCUAUUCUAAAUGGCGACUCUAAUAAAUAAAUAAUCCCAUUUCGAAUAAUGUCAUUUUAAUUGAAAAACUCCCAUAUACAUUAUUCUCUUCGGGGUGGUGUGUAAAAAGGAGGUGUGACAGCACCUAGCAUCAAACUGGGGUGGGAAAAUUUCUUUUGUUUUCUUUAUUUUGUUGUAAUCAGGGUCAAAGCAAAACAAUUUUAAAGGAAAGCAGUUCAAGUUUCAAGGGAAAACAAUUUGAGGUAACAGAGGAAAUACAAUUCAAGUUUUGGUAAUCAGACGUCCACCUGGAAAGCAAGGGAAUACAAUUCAAGUUUUGGCAAUCAGGCGCCUACCUGGAGAACAAGGGGAUACAAUUCAAGUUUUUGGCAAUCAAGAGCCCACCUGGAGAACAAGGGGUUACAACUCAAGUUUGGCAAUUAGGCACACAUCUGGAGAACAAGGGGAUGCAGUUCAAGUUUUUGGCAAUCAGGCGUCCAUCUGGAGAACAAGGGGAUACGGUUCAAGUUUUGGCAGUCAGUAGCCCACCUAGAGAACAAGGGAAUACAACUCAAGUUUUUGGCAAUCAAGCUCCCACCUGGAGAACAAGGGAAUAUUGUUCAAGUUUUGGCAGUCAGGCGCCCACCUGGAGAACAAGAGGAUAUAGUUCAAGUUUUGGAAAUUAGGAGCCCACCUGGAGAACAAGGGGAUAAAACUCAAAUUUUUGGUAAUCAGAAGCCCACCUGGAGAAGAAGGGGAUACAAUUCAAGUUUUGGCAAUCAGGCACCCGUCUGGAGAAUAAGUGAAUAUACUUCAAAUUUUUGGUAAUCAGGCACCCACCUGUAACUUUGAUGUUACUGGCCGUUUGAGUGAUUCCCUUUUCUUAUUUUUUCA
rnacentral:lncRNA from 1 species